AUUCCAGCUCCAAUAGCGUAUAUUAAAGUUGUUGCAGUUAAAAAGCUCGUAGUUGAACUUUGGGCCCGGUUGGCCGGUCCGAUUUUUUCGUGUACUGGAUUUCCAACGGGGCCUUUCCUUCUGGCUAACCUUGAGUCCUUGUGGCUCUUGGCGAACCGGGACUUUUACUUUGAAAAAAUUAGAGUGUUCAAAGCAGGCGUAUUGCUCGAAUAUAUUAGCAUGGAAUAAUAGAAUAGGACGUUCGGUUCUAUUUUGUUGGUUUCUAGGACCAUCGUAAUGAUUAAUAGGGACGGUCGGGGGCAUCAGUAUUCAAUUGUCAGAGGUGAAAUUCUUGGAUUUAUUGAAGACUAACUACUGCGAAAGCAUUUGCCAAGGACGUUUUCAUCA
rnacentral:rRNA from 1 species